GAGACCUUUUCCUUGUUCUUGCCCCGUACAAUAUUGAGGUUGGAACAGAUUCAAGAAAAAUUGAUUGGGUUCGGCAGAUCAGGUCGAGUUUGAAAAUAAUUGCCAUCUCUAUCUUCAAACUUUUUAAGUAGCAAACCUCAAAGUUAAAUAACAUUAAAAGACAAGUAAGAAAUAACUAAGGUUCUGUUCGGUUCAUGUAAAUGAAUUUUAUGAGAGAAUUCAUUUACAAAUGAAUUCCUUUAUUUAGUAUAUUAUAUAUUAAAUAUAAAAUUCAAUUCAAAUAAAAUAAAUUUUGUAUU
rnacentral:misc_RNA from 1 species